rnacentral:rRNA from 1 species
AUUGAACGCUGGCGGCAUGCCUUACACAUGCAAGUCGAACGGCAGCACGGGAGCAAUCCUGGUGGCGAGUGGCGAACGGGUGAGUAAUAUAUCGGAACGUGCCCGGUCGUGGGGAUAACGUAGCGAAAGCUACGCUAAUACCGCAUACGAUCUACGGAUGAAAGCGGGGGAUCGCAAGACCUCGCGCGAUUGGAGCGGCCGAUAUCAGAUUAGGUAGUUGGUGAGGUAAAGGCUCACCAAGCCGACGAUCUGUAGCUGGUCUGAGAGGACGACCGGCCACACUGGGACUGAGACACGGCCCAGACUCCUACGGGAGGCAGCAGUGGGGAAUUUUGGACAAUGGGCGCAAGCCUGAUCCAGCAAUGCCGCGUGCAGGAUGAAGGCCU